GAUGAACGCUGGCGGCGUGCCUAAUACAUGCAAGUCGAGCGAACAGACGAGGAGCUUGCUCCUCUGACGUUAGCGGCGGACGGGUGAGUAACACGUGGAUAACCUACCUAUAAGACUGGGAUAACUUUGGGAAACCGGAGCUAAUACCGGAUAAUAUAUUGAACCGCAUGGUUCAAUAGUGAAAGACGGUUUUGCUGUCACUUAUAGAUGGAUCCGCGCCGCAUUAGCUAGUUGGGAAGGUAACGGCUUACCAAGGCGACGAUGCGUAGCCGACCUGAGAGGGUGAUCGGCCACACUAGAACUGAGACACGGUCCAGACUCCUACGGGAGGCAGCAGUAGGGAAUCUUCCGCAAAGGGCGAAAGCCUGACGGAGCAACGCCGCGUGAGUGAUGAAGGUCUUCGGAUCGUAAAACUCUGUUAUUAGGGAAGAACAAAUGUGUAAGUAACUAUGCACGUCUUGACGGUACCUAAUCAGAAAGCCACGGCUAACUACGUG
rnacentral:rRNA from 1 species